rnacentral:lncRNA from 1 species
CAAUUGCACAGUAUUGCGCAAUAGCAAGAAAUCUUCAAUUGCACAGUAUAGUGCAAUAGCAAGAAAUCUUCAAUUGCACAGUAUUGGGCAAUAGCAAGAAAUAUCUAAUUGCACAAUAUUGCGCAAUAGCAAGAAAUUUUCAAUUGCACAGUUUUGCCCAAUAGCAAGAAAUAUUCAAUUGCACAGUAUUGUCCCGUUUUCAAAUUGGUCUACAUUAAGGUCCAAAGGGUCAAAAAUUAAACUUUGUUUGAUUUCAACAAAAAUUGAAUAUAUGGGG